GAUGAACGCUGGCGGCGUGCCUAAUACAUGCAAGUCGAGCGAACGGACGAGAAGCUUGCUUCUCUGAUGUUAGCGGCGGACGGGUGAGUAACACGUGGAUAACCUACCUAUAAGACUGGUAUAACUUCGGGAAACCGGAGCUAAUACCGGAUAAUAUUUUGAACCGCAUGGUUCAAAAGUGAAAGACGGUCCUGCUGUCACUUAUAGAUGGAUCCGCGCUGCAUUAGCUAGUUGGUAAGGUAACGGCUUACCAAGGCAACGAUGCAUAGCCGACCUGAGAGGGUGAUCGGCCACACUGGAACUGAGACACGGUCCAGACUCCUACGGGAGGCAGCAGUAGGGAAUCUUCCGCAAUGGGCGAAGGCCUGACGGAGCAACGCCGCGUGAGUGAUGAAGGUCUUCGGAUCGUAAAACUCUGUUAUUAGGGAAGAACAUAUGUGUAAGUAACUGUGCACAUCUUGACGGUACCUAAUCAGAAAGCCACGGCUAACUACGUG
rnacentral:rRNA from 1 species